GUCCCUAUAGCUCAGUUGGUAGAGCAACAGACUUUUAAUCUGUGGGUCGUAGGAUCGAUACCUACUGGGGACA
rnacentral:tRNA from 1 species